rnacentral:rRNA from 1 species
UACGAAGGGGGCUAGCGUUGCUCGGAAUUACUGGGCGUAAAGCGCACGUAGGCGGCUUUCUAAGUCGGGGGUGAAAUCCUGGAGCUCAACUCCAGAACUGCCUUCGAUACUGGAAAGCUCGAGUCCGGGAGAGGUGAGUGGAACUGCGAGUGUAGAGGUGAAAUUCGUAGAUAUUCGGAAGAACACCAGUGGCGAAGGCGGCUCACUGGACCGGCAUUGACGCUGAGGUGCGAAAGCGUGGGGAGCAAACAGG